AUUGAACGCUGGCGGCAGGCCUAACACAUGCAAGUCGAGCGAGCGGCGGACGGGUGAGUAAUGUCUGGGAAAAUGCCCGAUGGAGGGGGAUAACUACUGGAAACGGUAGCUAAUAUCGCAUACCAUCAGAUGUGCCCAGAUGGGAUUAGCGAGUAGGUGGGGUAACGGCUCACCCAGGCGACGAUCCCUAGCUGGUCUGAGAGGAUGACCAGCCACACUGGAACUGAGACACGGUCCAGACUCCUACGGGAGGCAGCAGUGGGGAAUAUUGCACAAUGGGCGCAAGCCUGAUGCAGCCAUGCCGCGUGUAUGAAGAAGGCCUUCGGGUUGUAAAGCACUUUCAGCGGGGAGGCGUUACCCGCAGAAGAAGCACCGGCUAACUCCGUGCCAGCAGCCGCGGUAAUAC
rnacentral:rRNA from 1 species